GUUUUUGGUGGCUCGGACAGGGAGCCGCAAGGCUCGCCGGUCAGCGCAAGCGGUCCCGGUACGCCAACCUGUUCGAGCUGCCGCCCUC
rnacentral:antisense_RNA from 1 species